rnacentral:rRNA from 1 species
GAUGAACGCUGGCGGCGUGCCUAAUACAUGCAAGUCGAGCGAACGGACGAGAAGCUUGCUUCUCUGAUGUUAGCGGCGGACGGGUGAGUAACACGUGGAUAACCUACCUAUAAGACUGGGAUAACUUCGGGAAACCGGAGCUAAUACCGGAUAAUAUUUUGAACCGCAUGGUUCAAAAGUGAAAGACGGUCUUGCUUUCACUUAUAGAUGGAUCCGCGCUGCAUUAGCUAGUUGGUAAGGUAACGGCUUACCAAGGCAACGAUGCAUAGCCGACCUGAGAGGGUGAUCGGCCACACUGGAACUGAGACACGGUCCAGACUCCUACGGGAGGCAGAAGUAGGGAAUCUUCCGAAAUGGGCGAAAGCCUGACGGAGCAACGCCGAGUGAGUGAUGAAGGUCUUCGGAUCGUAAAACUCUGUUAUUAGGGAAGAACAUAUGUGUAAGUAACUGUGCACAUCUUGACGGUACCUAAUCAGAAAGCCACGGCUAACUACGUG